CACAUCUCUUCUGCGCAGCUGCGUCUCUGUCUCAGUUGAGCUGAGCUGUCUGUGCUGGUUUGUGUGGGUUUCCGCCUCAUGCUGGUCAUCAUCUGGACCUGCUACAGUGUGCAGCCGGUCGGCCCUGAAUGCAGCAGCUGGAUGAUUUCUGCGGCUUCACUCAGUCACUGCGUCAGACGGAGGAUUGUGAUCAACACCAAAGGCGGAGGCGGUUCAGAGCCUGAACAAACACUUUGCACAUUUUCAACCUUCACGUCUUACAUUUACAUUAUUCAUAGAAAAAAUGCAUUUUUAAGUGUAGACCUUCAGACGGGAAAUGGAUGCAGACAGAAACAGAUGGAAACAAUAAAAAUGCAAAUAUCCCCAAAAGUUUAAUCAACAUGUUGAUUUAUUCAUUUAUUCCAUCUUAUGCCUUAAAGGGCCAGCGACAGAAGCACUCAAACUCCCAGGAUUCCCUGUGUCUUUUCUAUAGAAAACAUUUUAUAGAUCAGGUCUACAUGAAUUACUGCAAAAACAGAAAACCAACAGAGCAAAAGAAAAGAGGAGGAAGAACGGAGAAAUGGAGAAAAG